UACGGGGGGGGCAAGCGUUGUUCGGAAUUACUGGGCGUAAAGGGCUCGUAGGUGGCCAACUAAGUCAGACGUGAAAUCCCUCGGCUUAACCGGGGAACUGCGUCUGAUACUGGAUGGCUUGAGUGUGGGAGAGGGAUGCGGAAUUCCAGGUGUAGCGGUGAAAUGCGUAGAUAUCAGGAGGAACACCGAUGGCGAAGGCAGUUCUCUGGGCCGUAACUGACGCUGAGGAGCGAAAGCGUGGGGAGCGAACAGG
rnacentral:rRNA from 1 species